GUACACGCUGUGACUAGCAUAUCAAUAAGCGGAGGAAAAGAAACUAACAAGGAUUCCCCUAGUAACGGCGAGUGAAGCGGGAAGAGCUCAAAUUUGAAAUCUUAAAGGGUUUCCCUUUACGAAUUGUAGUUUAAAGAAGUGUUUUCUGUUGAGGUUUUGGUAAAAGUUCUUUGGAAUAGGACAUCAUAGAGGGUGAGAAUCCCGUAUUUGACCUUUACUUUCAACUUUGUGAUACACUUUCAAAGAGUCGGAUUGUUUGGGAAUGCAGUCCAAAAUGGGUGGUAAAUUUCAUCUAAAGCUAAAUAUUGGCGAGAGACCGAUAGCGAACAAGUACCGUGAGGGAAAGAUGAAAAGAACUUUGAAAAGAGAGUUAAACAGUACGUGAAAUUGUCAAAAGGGAAGCGUUUGACACCAGUGUUGUUUUUCUGAAAAUCAAUUAAAGAACUGUUUAUGCUAAGCUGUUUAGACUUUAUCAGCUAACUGUUUAGUUUUGAGCUUUUCUUUAAUGCACUUUUCAGUUAACAAGUCAACAUCAAUUUCUUUUGCUGUAAAAAAGCUUGAGGAAGGUGGCUUGAGAUUCGUCUUAAGUGUUUAUAGCCUCUUGCCUAUGCAGUCGGAGAGAUUGAGGUCUGCAGCGUAGAUCCUUCGGGGCUAAAUGCAUUUGUGCUAAGUUAUAGCAUUUUAUAGACAACUUGUUGACUAUGAUUUGUCUUGUAGCUUACUCGCUUAUGUUAUUUUACCUACGCUUAGGAUGUUGAAGUCAUCGUAUCGCGC
rnacentral:rRNA from 1 species